rnacentral:misc_RNA from 1 species
AACAGUUGAGUAUUGUGCUUUUGGUUAUCCACAGCACAUUGUCAUAUGUUCCUUGCGCCCACAGUUUAGAUACUUGGGGGACGUUGCAAUUCCUUUUGCCACUGGGGCAGUUUGGCAGCGAAGGCAGUUAUUUGUUGCUACACCUACUACUGUUGAGUGUGUUUUUGUGGAUGCCGGGGUUGCGCCUAUUGACAUAGAAACGAAACGAAGAAAAGAGGAAAUGAAACUUAAAGAAGCACAGUCAAGAGCUAUUGCUGAACAUGGAGAAUUAGCCUUGAUAACAGUCGACAAUCAACAAUCAAAUCCACAAGAGAGGAUAGCAUUGAGACCCCCAAUGUUACAAGUUGUGCGAUUGGCUUCUUUUCAGCAUGCACCCUCUAUUCCUCCAUUUCUGUCAUUACCUAGACAGUCAAAAGUUGAUGGUGAUGCAUCGAGUGUGCUCAAGGAGAUGGAAGCUCGUAAGGCUAAUGAGGUGGCAGUUGGUGGUGGUGGGGUUGCAGUAGCUGUCACUCGUUUUCCUGCAGAGCAAACACGUCCAGUUGGACCUCUUGUUAUUGUAGGUGUUCGAGAUGGUGUUCUUUGGCUAAUUGAUCGAUAUAUGUGUGCUCAUGCAAUAUCCCUUAGCCAUCCUGGUAUCCGUUGUCGAUGCUUGGCAGCUUAUGGAGAUGCUGUAAGUGCUGUAAAAUGGGCCAGUCGACUUGGCAGAGAACAUCAUGAUGAUUUAGCACAAUUUAUGCUUGGGAUGGGUUAUGCUACUGAAGCACUUCAU